AGUCAGCAAGGAGAAUGAAGGGAACUAUUCCUGUGCUGUGAAUAGUCCUCAGAACAUUAGCUCAACUGAGAAGGCUCUCACUGUCAAAGCUCUAGAGAAAACCGUAGCAAGGCUGAACGUAUUGAAAAUGACUCUUUUAUCGCUGAUCCCUGCAGUUGUAUUUCUACUCUACAUGAAAACAAGGAAGAAGAAAACUGUGACUGCCACUGCUGAGAAAAGUGACAGGGAACAACCUGGACAAAUGGACCAGCUGUAUGAGAGUGUUGAACUGAACCCUGCUGCACAGUGAAAACCAGCAGAGAAGCAAGAAGACACUGUGCAACAUCUGGUUGGGUAGCUUGUAGACUUCCUCUUCCU